GAUGAACGCUGGCGGCGUGCCUAAUACAUGCAAGUCUAGCGAACAGACGAGGAGCUUGCUCCUCUGACGUUAGCGGCGGACGGGUGAGUAACACGUGGAUAACCUACCUAUAUGACUGGGAUAACUUCGGGAAACCGGAGCUAUUACCGGAUAAUAUAUUGAACCGCAUGGUUCAAUAGUGAAAGACGGUUUUGCUGUCACUUAUAGAUGUAUCCGCGCCGCAUUAGCUAGUUGGUAAGGUAACGGCUUACCAAGGCAACGAUGCGUAGCCGACCUGAGAGGGUGAUCGGCCACACUGGAACUGAGACACGGUCCAGACUCCUACGGGAGGCAGCAGUAGGGAAUCUUCCGCAAAGGGCGAAAGCUUGACGGAGCAACGCCGCGUGAGUGAUGAAGGUCUUCGGAUCGUAAAACUCUGUUAUUAGGGAAGAACAAAUGUGUAAGUAACUAUGCACGUCUUGACGGUACCUAAUCAGAAAGCCACGGCUAACUACGUG
rnacentral:rRNA from 1 species